rnacentral:rRNA from 1 species
CACCAGGAGUGGAGCCUGCGGCUUAAUUUGACUCAACACGGGAAAACUCACCCGGGCCGGACACUAUAAGGAUUGACAGAUUGAUAGCUCUUUCAUGAUUUAGUGGUUGGUGGUGCAUGGCCGUUCUUAGUUCGUGGAUAUGAUUUGUCUGGUUGAUUCCGAUAACGAGCGAGACUUUUAUGUUAUAUUAAAUAAUAUUAUUAUUAAAUUUUAUUUUAUAUAAUAUUUUAUUUUAAUAACAGAUUAAUAGUGUUUAACUAUUUGAGAGAGAGCAAUAACAGGUCUGUGA